CGUGUAGGCGGCCAGGUAGGUCUGCUGUGAAAACUCGAGGCUUUACCUCGAGAUGUCGGCGGAAACCAUCUGGCUAGAGUCCGGAAGAGGAGAAUGGAAUUCCCGGUGUAGCGGUGAAAUGCGCAGAUAUCGGGAAGAACACCCGUGGCGAAGGCGGUUCUCUGGGACGGUACUGACGCUGAGACGCGAAAGCGUGGGGAGCGAACA
rnacentral:rRNA from 1 species